UGGGGAAUAUUGCACAAUGGGGGAAACCCUGAUGCAGCAACGCCGCGUGAAGGAAGACGGUUUUCGGAUUGUAAACUUCUAUCAAUAGGGACGAAGAAAGUGACGGUACCUAAAUAAGAAGCCCCGGCUAACUACGUGCCAGCAGCCGCGGUAAUACGUAGGGGGCAAGCGUUAUCCGGAAUUACUGGGUGUAAAGGGUGAGUAGGCGGCAUGGCAAGUAAGAUGUGAAAGCCCGGGGCUUAACUCCGGGAUUGCAUUUUAAACUGCUGAGCUAGAGUACAGGAGAGGAAAGCGGAAUUCCUAGUGUAGCGGUGAAAUGCGUAGAUAUUAGGAAGAACACCAGUGGCGAAGGCGGCUUUCUGGACUGGAAACUGACGCUGAGGCACGAAAGCGUGGGGAGCGAACAGGAUUAGAUACCCUGGUAGU
rnacentral:rRNA from 1 species